ACAUGGCAACCAGGUGAUCGUGUUGUGUUCACGUCUACGGACUUUGACUGGAAACAGGCGGAAGAACUUGAAGUGUUUCCUUGUGACGACUGCGCCAGCAACCAGUUCCGGGUCAAAGGAGAAUUCAAGUUCCCCCACUACGGCAAGGUGUAUGACGGAGUGGACAUGAGAGGUGAAGUGGCACUGCUGUC